AGAAUAGCCAAAAUAUCUGUGUGACAGCCUCUCUUCCUUUCUUUACUCUCGUCGUCUCAUGUGCUCUCACUUUCUUCAUAUAUAUAGUCUUUCUUCUCCUCCUGUGCAGCCUCUCUUGAUCUUACCGAAUACCCGAAAGGCAGAGAGAAGACACUUCCAAACCAAUGUCAAGUGUUGUCAUUAGUUUCUUCAAGUAUAGGAACUCUUAAAUAUGCAACUGGGUUGUUGGUUGCUUUUUGGCAUGGGUGGUGUAGGAAAGAUGGACCAUGAUUUGGUUGGUGCAAAGAUACAACAUGGUUGUAUUUAUGAAAUAACACAUUUUUAUACUGGCCGCAAACAAAGUUGUUCCACAUGCUGCACAUUUGUUCUUCAAUGCAAGAACAAUUUUCACCAAGCUCUCAAGUGUUCACCCACAGAUUCUGAGACAUCAGUUGUAUUUUCUUAAUUAUAGUGGCAUUUUGGUUGAACUAAGCAUUCUCCCUUCAUUUUACAUGUUUUUUUUUUUUUUUUCUAGUAUUUUGCUU